AGAAAAUACAUAUGUUGAUUGCUGCUUUUGAAGUAAAAUGAGAUCCAUUAUAUUUCUCCAGGUUCUGGGUCACCUUGGCCUACCUUUGGAAGUGUUUGAUUGUGGACCAGGGUAUUUGAAAGUUGGGGGAGUUUGUUCUGAUGUAGAUGAAUGUUUGACUGGGAUGAUCUGUGGCGAGAGGAGAGAAUGCUCCAAUGUGAUUGGAAGCUACACGUGUCAGUGUCUAUCAGGAUUUACUGACUAUGGCAACCAAAAAGCUAAGUGUCAAGAGCUGAAUUGUGACCAGUAUGAAAAAUCGAGUACAUCUGGACAGAGUCUACCAGGUUUUAACCGUAUUCUAUCUCUUAUGAGAAGAAACUGUAUGACGUUGACUAAAACCGGACCUCUUGGAAUGAGUGGGAAUCUUGAUCCUGAGAAGCUUUUGACAGAACUGGUUGUCUUCACCGAUGAGUUUCAACUGGAUACUGAUAGUCACCAUGGUAACAGCAUGAACAUGACUGGGAUCCUGAGGACAGUGGAAUUAUCUGUUGGACAGAUUGCCCCACAGCUGAGACAGAAUGUGAGCAGAGAAGAGAAUAAUAACACAGAGGUGAAGGUUGUGGUGAAGAGGGAAAUAACUCCACCCCAAGGAGCAGUCAGACUGACCAAUGAGAACAGCCAACUUGACACCACCUGGGAGACUGUGAUUGGAGAGGAGUACCUAGGGUAUGGGUUUGCCAGUCUGUUCAGCUACAAAAGACUGGGGAAUCUGACCGACAAUUCUGAGCAGCAGUUACAGUCUGAAGUAGUGACAGUAAUCACUAGCAAUCCUAACACAGGAAAACUGCCCCAACCUGUCAGUCUCACCUUCACUCAUCUACAGGCUAGUGAUAUGAAAACCACCUGUGUUUAUUGGUCAGAGGUUGGAGGGGGGGGCGUGGUCAAGCCAAGGCUGCACCUCUGUGGGGUCUAACUCCACCCACACUGUGUGCUCCUGCGCCCAUCUCAGCAGCUUCGCCCUGCUCAGUGAAACACAAAAGAUGAAGGACGGGGGAAAGCUAUCAGUGAUGAUGUUGGUGUGCGUUUCCAUGGCAUUUGUGUUUGUGGUCCUAUCCCUGCUCACUGCCAUGUGGUGUCGCUUUUUCAGCAAAAAACACAAUGGAAGCAGCCAGCGGCUACAGCAAUCCUACCCCUAAAGCACUUCAAAUGUAUACAGUUGUCCAUCUCAAAUGUAACUUAAAAGCAGUUCAGAGAGCAACGUGCAUAGUAGGAUAAAAGAUCAGGCUACAUAGUAGCAAGGGGGUAAUGAGUGAGAUUGACCUGAACCGUGGCAGGAGUCUUUUGGAGAGAUGGUGACAAGGUUUAUAAAGGGUCAGAGAUUAUCUAUUUUAUUACAUUUAAAAAAAAAUUUACUUAAAGGACCAAUAAGCUAACUGAAUUGAAAUUUUACUGAAAACCCUAAAGAGGCAUUGUGCAGAUUUCUGCCUCUAUAGUUUACAAGACUGAAUUUGGACAAUAACACAACUUGACCACUCUUCCCUUAUUGAUCAAAACCAGAGUAGUAGUAGCUAGUCCAGGUUGGUUUAGUGUGAGUGUCUAAAGUGAAUAUGAGAGACUACAUAUCAAACUAAUCGAAGAACCAGUGAGACUGUUUGAACUGGGAAUAUCUCAGGCACUCUAAAGAAAAUUUGAGCCAUUAACUAAAAACCUGAUCUUCAGAUGUAUUUUGAUCAUUUAUGCUUGUAUUUAUGUUAGUAGUACAGUAAGAAUCAUACAUAUGACCCCUUUAACUGUAUCAGUAAUUUUUUUUUAAAUGUGAGUGGAACACUUUAAAGGAAUAUGUGAACUUUAAUUUUAAACCUCUCAAGUUAGGAGCUGCCUUUGAUGUCACCCAUGAAUGGACUGUAUGCACAAUACCAGUUCACAUGUAGAGUUCCAGACAAACGUUUGGACACACUUGCCUACUCACUUGAAUGGGUGUGUCCAAACCUUUGACUGGUACUGUAUGUAAAUGCUAAUGUCAAAAUAACAGAAAAUCAUAGAUAUGUAUGUAUUAGUACUGAUCAUGAGGAUUGUAAUAUUCAAGUGAAAUUAAUAUAAUGUAGAUUUCCAUAUAAAUGUAUACAGGCUUUCAUAGUAAACAUUGUGCUUUGAGCUUAUCAUUCACUUGUCAUGUGUAUUACAUAACUCAUGUGGAAAAGAGCAACUUAAAAGAUGGUUCAUCUAAAAAUCAUAUUUGGGUGAAAUACCCCCUACCGUGUGUAAAGGUCCAUAUUUUCAUAAUCCACAAUAAACCAUUGUUUACUUCUACCUCAGCCCAGAGUUAGCUUUAGUAUAAUAGAAAUUCAUAAAUAUCUCUUUAACACUUUAUCUCCAUUCCCCUGUGGGUGAUUGAGCAACUGAUUAUGUGAGAGAGUAAGGA